rnacentral:rRNA from 1 species
ACGAACGCUGGCGGCGUGCCUAAUACAUGCAAGUCGAGCAGAAUGAUGAAGAAGCUUGCUUCUUCUGAUUUUAGCGGCGGACGGGUGAGUAACACGUGGGCAACCUACCUUGUAGAUUGGGAUAACUCCGGGAAACCGGGGCUAAUACCGAAUAAUCCAUUUUGCUUCAUGGCGAGAUGUUGAAAGACGGUUUCGGCUGUCACUAUAAGAUGGGCCCGCGGCGCAUUAGCUAGUUGGUAGGGUAAUGGCCUACCAAGGCGACGAUGCGUAGCCGACCUGAGAGGGUGAUCGGCCACACUGGGACUGAGACACGGCCCAGACUCCUACGGGAGGCAGCAGUAGGGAAUCUUCCACAAUGGACGAAAGUCUGAUGGAGCAACGCCGCGUGAGUGAAGAAGGUUUUCGGAUCGUAAAACUCUGUUGUAAGGGAAGAACACGUACGAGAGUAACUGCUCGUACCUUGACGGUACCUAACCAGAAAGCCACGGCUAACUACGUG